AUUUGUCUGGUUAAUUCCGAUAACGAACGAGACCUUAACCUGCUAACUAGUUCUCAAUACUCUGUAUUCUGCAACUUCUUAGAGGGACUAUGUAAAUCAAUUACAUGGAAGUUUGAGGCAAUAACAGGUCAGUGAUGCCCUUAUAUGUCCUGGGCUGCACGCGUGCUACACUGAUGCAUACAACAAGUGCCUAGCCAGACAUGGUAUGGCAAUCUCGAAUAUGCAUCGUGAUGGGGAUAGAUCUUUGCAAUUAUAGAUCUUGAACGAGGAAUUCCUAGUAAGUGCAAGUCAUCAUCUUGCAUUGACUAUGUCCCUGCCCUUUGUACACACCGCCCGUCGCUCCUACCGAUACCGGGUGAUCCGGUGAACCUUUUGGACUCAUUGAGAAAGAUAAGUAAACCAUAUCACCUAGAGGAAGGAGAAGUCGUAACAAGGUUUCCGUAGGUGAACCUGCRGAAGGAUCA
rnacentral:rRNA from 1 species